rnacentral:siRNA from 1 species
AUAAGUGUCAAAUAGAGUAAA